GUUAAGUAAGAUCAAGUGUGUGUCUACUUGAUUGAAGCUGCUAAGUAAGAUCAAGUGUGUGUCUUUGAAGAGUGUCUUCUUUUCAUAAGUAAUUGUUGUUUAAAAUCACUGGGUGUGAUGAGGGGGAGUGAGUGAAGAUCUCAUAUCUAAGAGUUCUUAGGUAGAAAUCAUACGGGUAGAGAUUAGGUGAAAAAGACUGUAACUUGUGGAGUGUACUGAGAGUCUUUGAACUGAUUCUAUUUAGUGGAUUU
rnacentral:lncRNA from 1 species